rnacentral:rRNA from 1 species
UUCCAGACUCCUACGGGAGGCAGCAGUGGGGAAUAUUGCACAAUGGGGGAAACCCUGAUGCAGCGACGCCGCGUGAGUGAAGAAGUAUUUCGGUAUGUAAAGCUCUAUCAGCAGGGAAGAAAAUGACGGUACCUGACUAAGAAGCCCCGGCUAACUACGUGCCAGCAGCCGCGGUAAUACGUAGGGGGCAAGCGUUAUCCGGAUUUACUGGGUGUAAAGGGAGCGUAGACGGCAUGGCAAGUCAGAUGUGAAAGCCCGGGGCUCAACCCCGGGACUGCAUUUGAAACUGUCAGGCUGGAGUGCAGGAGAGGUACGUUGAAUUCCUAGUGUAGCGGUGAAAUGCGUAGAUAUUAGGAGGAACACCAGUGGCGAAGGCGGCUUACUGGACUGUAACUGACGCUGAGGCACGAAAGUGUGGGGAGCAAACAGGAUUAGAUACCCGUGUAU